rnacentral:snRNA from 1 species
UUCCUGCAGUCACUGGAGCUUU